UAAAAAAAUAAUAAUAAAAAAAAGCAAUAAAAUGAUGCCAUCAUCUAAGAGGACCCAUGGCAACAGCAUCUGGCCUUCACAAAUUUCUCUUGCUCUGCCUCAGACCCUCUGAUUGUAUACAACAGAAAAAAGAAAAACAUUAUGCAGAAAAUACAUAUUCUCAAUAGAACAUCAAUAUGGCUUGCAAUUCUGGAGGUGAAUGCACAGAGAAUGUUGACCAAUAGAAUUUAUGGAUGAAACUCAGAAGCUCCUCCUAAGAAUUUUGAAUUUCAAAUGGCCGAAAGGAGCCAACUCAAAGUCAAACAACACUAUUCACUACUUCACCUUGACUCCUUAUCCAGUCUAGAAUAUCAGAACAAUCAUUACGGCUGACAAAAUGCCUAUUUUUAGGGCGAUAAGUCUUCAGUUGAAGAUUUUCCCGUUCAUUAGAUGUAACUUUUUUCAUUCUAAGUGAUUCGGGAACAACCAAAGUUCCGGUUUGAUCAUGAUAUGCAUUAUAAAUAAAGUUAAGCACCUUUUCCAGGGGCUUAGAAGCAUCAAGCCAAUGAUAGAUGUGCUCAUUACGAAACCAUGUCAUUUGCCUUUUUGCAAAAUUUCUGGAAGCUUUCUGAAAUUCAGAUAGAAAAGCAUAAAAUUCUCCUGCAGAACUCCUACCCCCUUGUUCCCUACACUUUAAAAGGUACUCCAUAGCUUGUCUGUAACCAAUUGCACGAGUUGCAGAGUUAGAAUUUGGAAGAAGGCCUGUGUCAAGAAGCCAUUUGGCCUCAGACAAAAUUCCAUCAGUUUCUGAAAGCAUAUAUUCACAUCGGUAAUCAAUUGAUCUAUAGAGAUCAAGUCUAGGGCUCGAGAGGAAAAAACAAAUGAAUUCAUAGUCCAAAUCUUUUGGUUUAACUUCCUCAGAUACAUCAAGAGAUGAAUGCACAUUCUGAGAAUCCUCUGUUAAACUUGUACCUAAUUCUUCCUUGAAAGAAUCAAAUGGAACUUGAAAAGCAGAUGGAGGAGAUCCACUGGCCUUGAUUAUCUCAAGGCUGCGUCGUAAUCUGUACCAAUCAUUGGCGGCCAAAAAUUGAGCCUUUGGAUCACCUGCUUUGACUACUAACUUUACAGCUUCAUCCCAGUCCUCAUUCUUCUGCAAUUCUGCAAGCUCAGAAUAUGCUUCAGAUACAAUAUCUGGUGAGGCUUUUGGAACAUCUGGCUUUCCGUAUAUGAACCAUCGCAAAUACAAUCCAGUCCCACCAGCAACUACAGGAACACGACCAUUGUCCAAAAUAUCUCGUGUAGCUUGCCUUGCAUCCUCAAAAAAUUGUCCGACUGAAUAAUCUUCAGAUGGGUGUAAUAUGUCAAUCAGAUGGUGUGGCACUUCCUGCAAAAAUAAUGAGGGUGAAUAUUACGACUGGACAUAGAAAAUAAUAUUUAUAAAUCAAGUUAUGGUUCUCAUUGAUAUGCCAACAAAAACAAUAUGGACUGUGUAUCUUAAUUUCCUGAAAAAUAAACUCCAUCUGAGACAAAUUGGCACGUUUAGCAGAUAACACAGGUAGCAUUGUUGCUUGAGAACUACUCCAAUGGGCAAGAAUAUGAAAAGAUUGCACCAAAACACAGAUGGAAAAUUGCUUCCAAAUUUUCGUUACUUUUUCCAACUUUGGAAUGAAUUCAUUCAAAAUUUUAAUUGCAGAAAAAUGUUAGACUUCAGUCAUCUUAUAAAUUGAAAUUUGACUCUUUAGUCAAUCAUGCAAUACAACUUUCUAAUGCUACAAAGCUGUGAUACACACAAGUUCAAAAGGUAAAAUGCCCAAGAUUGCCACUAAAAUAUGUGUUAUUCUCUUUUCAUCUCUCACGUUGCACAUACAUGAAAACUCCCAUCACAUCCAUCAAAUAAUAGGUAGAUCUGAAAUGGACGCACCCAUCAAUGUAGUGUUUAAAGCUGCAUUUCAUUCACUCAGAUAAAUAAAAUAUAACUUCAUGACAAGCACAAAUGCCAAAAUCCAGUUAACCUAACAUUUGAUGGGCAACAGAUGAAAAAGGAGAACAUUUGAAAUAACAUGAACUACAUGUUGACUUGUGAUGCUUUUAAUUCCAUCAAGAAAUGAAAUUUAACAACAGAGGCAAACACUAGGAACAACACAAUAUCUAUCUAGUAGAGACCCUUCUUUCACUUGGGGAAGGCUUGGCAGAUCCAACAUCAAGACCACGAUACACCUGGACGGAGUCGGCGCUGAUGAUUUCCCCGUUGAGCCGCUUGGCGAGCUCCAACGCAAGUCGGGUCUUACCGGAUCCGGUGGGACCAGAAAUAACAACAACCUUCUCUUUCUUGUCUUUCUUGUUCCCGAGGGAAACGGAGGAAGUGGUGGAGGCGAACAAGCGCCGGCGAGGCAGUGGGGGUGGAGAGGGGAGGAGGAAGCGGAGGCAGCGUGUACAGAGGCCACAGAGUUCGCUCAUUAUCAUUUUGUAUGGAAGAGAUUAUUGAUAACAGAUAGAAAAAUGGGCUUCAGCGGCUGAAGCUGUCCACUCGAAAAUGGACGGUGAGGUCGAAAGCCAGUUGAAGCAGAGGAGGCACGCUAAGGUUUAAGGUGA
rnacentral:misc_RNA from 1 species